CCUACGGGAGGCAGCAGUGGGGAAUAUUGCACAAUGGGGGAAACCCUGAUGCAGCGACGCCGCGUGAGCGAUGAAGUAUUUCGGUAUGUAAAGCUCUAUCAGCAGGGAAGAAAAUGACGGUACCUGACUAAGAAGCCCCGGCUAACUACGUGCCAGCAGCCGCGGUAAUACGUAGGGGGCAAGCGUUAUCCGGAUUUACUGGGUGUAAAGGGAGCGUAGACGGUCGUGCAAGCCUGAUGUGAAAGGCCGGGGCUCAACCCCGGGACUGCAUUGGAAACUGUACGGCUGGAGUGCAGGAGAGGCAGGCGGAAUUCCUAGUGUAGCGGUGAAAUGCGUAGAUAUUAGGAGGAACACCAGUGGCGAAGGCGGCCUGCUGGACGAUGACUGACGUUGAGGCUCGAAAGCGUGGGGAGCAAACAGGAUUAGAUACCCGAGUAGUC
rnacentral:rRNA from 1 species